CAGCAGUGGGGAAUAUUGGACAAUGGGCGAAAGCCUGAUCCAGCCAUGCCGCGUGUGUGAAGAAGGUCUUCGGAUUGUAAAGCACUUUAAGUUGGGAGGAAGGGUUGUAGAUUAAUACUCUGCAAUUUUGACGUUACCGACAGAAUAAGCACCGGCUAACUUCGUGCCAGCAGCCGCGGUAAUACGAAGGGUGCAAGCGUUAAUCGGAAUUACUGGGCGUAAAGCGCGCGUAGGUGGUUCGUUAAGUUGGAUGUGAAAGCCCCGGGCUCAACCUGGGAACUGCAUCCAAAACUGGCGAGCUAGAGUACGGUAGAGGGUGGUGGAAUUUCCUGUGUAGCGGUGAAAUGCGUAGAUAUAGGAAGGAACACCAGUGGCGAAGGCGACCACCUGGACUGAUACUGACGCUGAGGUACGAAAGCAUGGGGAGCAAACAGGAUUAGA
rnacentral:rRNA from 1 species